rnacentral:ncRNA from 1 species
AUGUAAAUUUUUGUGUGAAUAUUUAUUUAUUUUAAUAAUAGGUGAAGUUUAUUCCAACCGCAGUAAUUAAUGUCAUUAAUUAAAGAAAUUUAGAGAUAGUAAUUUUAGUUAGUAUUGGCUAAAUUAGUGCCAGCAGCCGCGGUUACACUAAUGAUACAAAUAAUUUUUUUUCGGUAAGAGUUAGAUUUAUAUGUAUAUAGAAUUAAAUUAGAUUUAUUAGGUGAAAUUUUAUAUUUAUUUUUUUUAGAAAAUUAAGUUGUUGAAGCUUGUAAAUUUUAGUUAAAAACUAGGAUUAGAUACCCUAUUAUUUAAAAUGUAAAAAAUUUGCUAAGGUAGUAUUAGUUAUGUUCUUGAAACUUAAAAAAUUUGGCGGUAUUUUAGUCUAUCCAGAGGAACCUGUUCUGUAAUCGAUAACCCACGAUGGACCUCACUUGGACUUGUGUUUCAGUUUAUAUACCGUCGUUAUCAGAAUAUUUUAUUAGAAUAAUAAUUUUCUGAAUUUUUUAUUAAAAAUUAUAUCAGAUCAAGGUGUAGCUUAUGUUUAAGUAGAAAUGGGUUACAAUAAAAAUAUUUAUAUGGAAUUAAAUUUGGAAUUUUUAAUGAAGGUGGAUUUGGUAGUAAAAUUGUAGAGAUAAACAAUUUGAUUUUAGCUCUAAAAUAUGCACACAUCGCCCGUCGCUCUUUCUAUUAAGGUAAGAUAAGUCGUAACAUAGUAGAUGUACUGGAAAGUGUAUCUAGAAUG